rnacentral:rRNA from 1 species
UACGAAGGGGGCUAGCGUUGCUCGAAAUCACUGGGCGUAAAGCGCACGUAGGCGGAUUGCUAAGUCAGGGGUGAAAUCCUGGAGCUCAACUCCAGAACUGCCUUUGAUACUGAAGAUCUUGAGUUCGGGAGAGGUGAGUGGAACUGCGAGUGUAGAGGUGAAAUUCGUAGAUAUUCGCAAGAACACCAGUGGCGAAGGCGGCUCACUGGCCCGAUACUGACGCUGAGGCACGAAAGCGUGGGGAGCAAACAGG